rnacentral:lncRNA from 1 species
CAAAGAGUUGGACCCCCCCGAGUAUCAGCGUCGCAUCGUCCCCGUCAUCGUGCGACUCUUCGCGUCGCCCGACAGAGCGCUGCGCAUGAGGCUGCUGCAGCAGGUCAGGGCUCUAGGGCGCCUCUAUGGUGCCUCCAUGUCACCUCUAUGGCACCUAUAUGGCGCCUCCAUGUCAUCUCCAUGUCACCUGUAUGGCGCCUCCAUGUCACCUCUAUGGCGCCUCCAUGGCACCUGUAUGUUAUCUCUAUGGCACCUCUAUGGCACCUGUGUUGCCUCUAUGUCACCUCUAUGGCAGCUCUAUGUCACCUCUAUGUCACCUCUAUGGUGCCUCUAUGGCAUCUCUAUGUCACCUGUGUCACCUCUAUGGCACCUCUGUGCAUCUCUAUGUCACCUCUAUGUCGCCUCUAUGGCAGCUCUAUGGCAUCUCCAUGUCACCUCUAUGGCGCCUCUAUGGCAUCUCCAUGUCACCUCUAUGUCAUCUCUAUGGCACUGUGUCACCUCUAUGGCACCUCUAUGGCACUUCUAUGUCAUCUCCAUGUCACCUCCAUGUCACCUCUAUGGCACCUCUAUGGAGCCUCUAUGGCACCUCUAUGGUGCCUCUAUGGCAUCUCCAUGUCACCUCUAUGGUGCCUCUAUGGCAUCUCCAUGUCACCUCUAUGGCGCCUCUAUGGCAUCUCUAUGGCUCCUCUAUGGCAUCUCUAUGGCGCCUCCAUGUCACCUCUAUGGUGCCUCCAUGGCAUCUGUAUGGAGCCUCCAUGUCGCCUCCAUGUUAUCUCUAUGGCGCCUCUAUGGCAUCUCCAUGUCACCUCUAUGGCGCCUCUAUGGCGCCUCCAUGUCACCUCUAUUGUGCUUCCAUGUCGCCUCUAUGGCGCCUCCAUGUCACCUCUAUGUCACCUCUAUGUCAUCUCUAUGGCAUCUCUAUGUCACCUCUAUGUCACCUCUAUGGUGCCUCUAUGGCAGCUCUAUGUCGCCUCUAUGGCACCUCUAUGUCACCUCCAUGUCACCUCUAUGUCGCCUCUAUGGCUCCUCUAUGUCAUCUCUGUGGCACCUCCAUGUCACCUCUAUGACACCUCCAUGGCACCUCCAUGGCAGCUCUAUGACCACCUCCAUGGUAUCUCCAUGGCACCUCUAUGUCAUCUCUGUGUCACCUCCAUGUCACCUCUAUGGCACCUCUAUGGCAGCUCUAUGUCACUUCCAUGUCAUCUCUAUGUCAUCUCCAUGUCACCUCCAUGUCACCUCUAUGGGGCCCCCUGCCCCAUCCAUCCCCCCACCCCACAUAUCCCCAUAUCACCCUGCCCCACACGUCCCCAUAUCCCCCCAUCCCCCUGCUCCACAUCUCCCCCCAUCCCCUGCCCCACAUAUCCCCAUAUCCCCCCAUCCUCGUGCCCCACAUGUCCACAUAUCUCCCUGCCCCAUAUAUCCCCAUAUCCCCCUGCCCCAUAUAUCCCCAUAUCCCCCUGCCCCACAUACCCUUAUAUCCCCCUGCCCCACAUAUCCCCAUAUCCCCCUGCCCCACAUAUCCCCCCAUCCCCCUGCCCCACAUAUCCCCAUAUCCCCCUACCGUGGCACAUCUCCCCAUACCCCCCAUUUCUGCCCCCGAAACCCAUUUAUUUUUUUUUUUUUUUUUCCCCCCCCAUAUCCCCCUGCCCGCCAUUUGUCCCCCCUGCCGCCACCUAUCCCGCACCUCUCCCACCUAUCCCCCCAACUCCUUGCCCCACAUAUCCCACUAUCCCCCCCAAUAUUCCCCGUUGCCCACAUAUCCCCAUAUCCCCCUGCCCCACAUCUUCUCCCAUUCCCCCCUGCCCCACAAUCUCCCCAUACCCCCCCAUUCCCUGCCCCACAUAUCCCCAUAUCCCCACAUCCCCCUGCCCCACAUAUCCCCAUAUCCCCCCAUCCCCCUGCCCCACAUAUCCCCAUAUCCCCCCCAUAUCCCCCUUGCCCACAUAAUCACCCCAUCCCCCCAUCCCCCUGUGCCCCACGAUAUCCCCUUCAAUCCCCAUAUCCCCUUGCCCACAUAUCCC